rnacentral:rRNA from 1 species
GACGAACGCUGGCGGCGUGCCUAAUACAUGCAAGUCGAACGCAGUGGGGACGGGUGAGUAACACGUGGGUAACCUCCCAUCAGAGGGGAUAACACUUGGAAACAGGUGCUAAACCGAUACUGAUGGAUGGACCCGCGGUGCAUUAGCUAGUUGGUGAGGUAACGGCUCACCAAGGCCACGAUGCAUAGCCGACCGGAUAGGGGGAGCGGCCACACUGGGACUGGGACACGGCCCAGACUCCGACGGGAGGCGGCAGGAGGGAAUCUUCGGAGAUGGACGAAAGUCUGACCGAGCAACUCCGCGUGAGUGAAGAGGGUUUUCGGAUCGUAAAACUCUGUUGUUAGAGAAGCGGUAUCUAACCGGAAAGCCACGGCUAACUACGGGGCAGGAGGCGCGGUGAUUC